UGGGGAAUAUUGGACAAUGGGCGCAAGCCUGAUCCAGCAACGCCGCGUGGAGGAUGAAGGUCUUCGGAUCGUAAACUCCUGUCAGACGGGACGAAGGUAGCGGGGCAAAUAGUCUCGCUGCUUGACGGUACCGUCAGAGGAAGCCCCGGCUAACUCCGUGCCAGCAGCCGCGGUAAUACGUAGGGUGCGAGCGUUGUCCGGAAUUAUUGGGCGUAAAGGGCUCGUAGGCGGUUUGUCACGUCGGGAGUGAAAACUCGGGGCUCAACCCCGAGCCUGCUUCCGAUACGGGCAGACUAGAGGUAUGCAGGGGAGAACGGAAUUCCUGGUGUAGCGGUGAAAUGCGCAGAUAUCAGGAGGAACACCGGUGGCGAAGGCGGUUCUCUGGGCAUUACCUGACGCUGAGGAGCGAAAGUGUGGGGAGCGAAC
rnacentral:rRNA from 1 species